GAAAUAAAAGACGCACGAGACAAUUACAGAUUAUACCAGCAUCUGAACAUUACUUUACUUGUGCAAGCUAACAGGUUCUCCACAAAAUAGGAGCUGAGAGAGCAUGUGCUGCUGUGGUUGCGUUAGACGCACCGGGAGCAAACUACAGAUGUGUCUGGGCUUUAAGCAAGUACUACCCUAAUGUAAAAACCUUUGUCCGUGCACACGACGUUGUUCAUGGUCUUAAUCUAGAAAAAGCCGGUGCUACUGCUGUAAUGUUUACAAACCCUUUCACUUUCCACUAGAUAAGACAUAUGCUUUCUUGAUCGUACACUAAUACAUCAUGAUAACGAAAACGUGUAGGUUGUCCCGGAGACUCUGGAGCCAAGUCUGCAGUUGGCAGCUGCUGUUCUUGCUCAGGUAAGACCAUGAUGAUGAUCUCUUGUCUUUGGAAAUAAUCUUAAACAUAGCGUAUGUUCAUUUUUUUGUGGUUAAAAAACCUUCUCAGGCGAAAUUACCGACAUCAGAAAUCGCAAACACGAUCAACGAAUUCAGAACCCGUCACCUGUCUGAACUAACGGAGGUGCGUUUCAUUUUCGAUCAAGUUCAUCGUUUCUUUUUAUAAUCAGCUUUUUGGUUUGGUCUGAUUAAUUUGUAUUGGUAUAAAUGGUAUACGGCAGCUAUGUGAAGCAAGCGGAAGCUCUCUGGGCUACGGUUUUUCGAGGACGACGACUAAGCCUAAACCUCAACCGUCGGAUGCAUCUGACGAGAACCCGAUAAUGGAAGGAGGAGGAGGUGCACUCACGAUCUGAUGCCGUUUUUUUCAUUCUGGCAAAAACAAGAACAGCUUUCAGCUUCUUCUUGUCGUGUACAUUUCUUCAUUCUGGCAAGACAGAUCCGUCAUAUUCUUACGUUAGAGUACAUAUAACUCGUUUGGGUGAAAUAUACACAAACGAUAAAGUCAAAACAAGAAAAUUGAAUUUUACUUCAAUUUACGGCAAAAUGCAUGAAAAAAAUCAACGGCAGCGAUACCAUGAUUGUCAUCUAAGCCAAAGGGUCGCAGUGAUUGUGUUCCGGAUCUCUCUGUCAAUGCCUUUAUAGGUGGUGAUAGAGGUAGGGAGAGAGGCUUGAUUGUGCAACACGUUGUUUCUGUAAUCCUUAAUUAUCAGGUUUUAUUAUUUUGAAAGCUAACUGUUAUGGGCACCAUUUCUCAACUUCAAUAAAAUUUCCAAGAGCCAUCUAUCAAGUGUAUCUAUCAUUGUGACAUACCAAAAGACCCCCACCACCUACUAUCAAAUAUUCAUUUGCAAAGCCUUACGAUUAUAUAUUCUUUAUUGGCACAAGAGUCAUAAUCACUUAAAUCUUUAUCCCCUAACUACUUAGUUUUUUGCUUUAUCAUUUGACUGAACUCGGUUACAUUUAAUCCACUGUAAGCUUAUGAAAAUAAAUAAAUAAUAUGUAGAUGGAUCGUUACAACAUAAAAAAAAGGUAAAAAAACGAAAAAAAAAAAGACGAAGGUAAUAAAUUAGUCAACUCAAGGGCUCAUAAAGUAAUGUAACUCGUAUUUACUGGUUAAAUCAAUUGAGUAAUCAGUAAGGGUUGGAAAUUAAUAUUUUACAACUUAUGGGUCCCUUACGUCAUUUUGAAAGUCGGAGGUCUGUAUAGUUUGAGGGUUUUCUUGCAAAAACCCCUUUUGAUUGCCAUGAAAGGUUGGUGGCUUAUUUUGCAGUUUUUUUUUCCUUCGUUUUUUUUUUGUUUUUCUCUUUUGUUGGGAGUUGGGACUCUCUUCCUCAUUUCUCAUUCGAUUUUCGAUACGGGAAAAACCUUUUGAAACGGAACUGAAGAAUUUAUCAGACGAGCCAUUUCGAUCAGUCUUCGGCUCCGCUAAGCUCUAUUUCCGCCACUCUUCUUUACUCCGUCACACCCAUUUUCCAUGAUCGGUUAGUCUCUCUCUCUCUCUGUGCUUGUGAAGCUGUGCUUCGUGAUUUUUUCGAAUUCUUUCAUUUCAUAUACGGACUUCUGAGCCGAAUUUUUAUUUUCGUUUCAAGUCCGAAUGUGAUUUUCGUUACAACCGUGGAACUUCGAUUUGCUCCACAGGUGUGAAGGUUUGAGGGAUAAAGUAAGGCUACUCUAGAUUGAUUCGACAUGGAAUCUGCUUGUAGUGUUCAGCGGCCGAUUUUACUUCAUGGUGGGAAUGGUGCGAGUUACUGCUUCCCAAAUCGGUUGAUCAAUGCGAAACUGUGUCCCAAAGCUACAGUCAGCAGUAGAUUCUGGGAUCACAAGACUUAUUCUAAAUUGCUCCACUUGGGUACUCGAUUGAGGAGGAAUGUUACGCAAAGUGCUACGUUGACCUUCAAUUCUGGAAAAAUUUAUAGCCAUUUGCAUCCUAGAAAAUCAAUAGCUGGACAUUCUACACAGAUCCCCUUUGGAUUUAGGUCACAUUGUCAAGGUAAUGAUUCUCUUGUUCGUGUUGAUGCGGGGUUUUCAGAAAGUAAUGAUGAAGUCCAAGCUACAAUCUUGAAAGAAGAAAAAGAUGUGAGAGCGGAAGGAAACGAAAAUGAUUGUUUGGAGGAACUCAAGGAUUUACUACACAAGGCUAUCAAAGAAUUGGAAGUUGCUAGGCUCAAUAGUACCAUGUUUGAGGAAAAGGCUCAGAGGAUAUCAGAAACUGCGAUAGCACUCAAGGAUGAAGCGGCUAGUGUUUGGGAUGAGGUCAACAAAACCCUUGAUAUUAUGCGAGAUACAGUUGAUGAGGAAUCUGUGGCCAAAGAAGCUGUUCAAAAGGCUACGAUGGCGUUAUCUCUGGCUGAAGCAAGGCUUAGGGUUUUAGUGGAAUCACUUGAAGUAGGUGGAGGGAAUGCUAUUCCAGAGGCGUCUGAAGAGACUGAGAAAAGAGACGAUGUUGAAGAUAAAGAAGAAGCACUUUUAGCUGCUAAGGAUGACAUAAAGGUAUGCCAAGUGAAUUUAGCAAAUUGUGAGGCCCAACUGAGUUGCUUGCAGCGCAAAAAAGAUGAGCUGCAGAAGGAAGUGGACAAGUUUAAUGAGUUUGCUGAGACAAUACAGAUCAGGGCCUUGAAAGCCGAGGAGGAUGUCGCAAAUAUCAUGAAAUUGGCUGAACAAGCUGUCGCAUUUGAGCUUGAGGCUACGCAACGCGUUAAUGAUGCAGAGAUUGCUUUGCAGAGAGCAGAGAAGUCUCUAUCCAUCUCGCAGACCCCAGAAGAAACUCCUCUCGAGGAUGAACAAACUCCCCUCGAGGAUGAGGUGGUACUCUCAAGCAAUAUUGAAGAUCUUAGCCUUCAGGUUGAAAGGGAAUCACCAAUAGAUAAAAAUGUAUCAGCGGUACAGAACACAGCUGAUCAUGAACCUGAUAAAGUUGGUCAGAAGGCUCAAAAGCUAACUCAGCCUUAUGAUUCAAGGGAUCAUGAGAAUGGAAAGCCAAGUGUAGAGUCUUCUGAAGUCGUUGAAACAGAUUCUGACAAGUCAAAGAUUGCUAUUCAGACGAAAAAACAGGAAACACAGAAAGAUCUGUCAAAAGAGGGUUCUUCGCUUAAUUCUCCCAAGGCAUCGUUUAAUAAAUCCUCUCGUUUCUUUUCUGCAUCAUUCUUCUCUUCCAAUCCAGAUGGGUCCACGACAGUGUUUGCGAGUCUGGUUGAUUCUGUCAAACAGCAAUGGCCCAAACUAAUUCUUGGGUUUGCACUUCUCGGAGCAGGGUUAGUUUCAAAAUUUACUCUUCAUUUCAUCACUUUUUGAAGGAUCAUUUUAUUGUCGUGAAUAUAGUCUUUUUGUUGACUAUGAGCUUCUUGUUCGUUCCAGACUGACACUAUACUCCAAUGGAGUAGGAGGAAACAAUCAGCUGCAUCAACAGCCAGAUGCUAUCAGCACUACUACGGGAGAUGUGUCUUCCAGUAAGAAGCCGUUGAUCCGGCAAGUGCAGAAACUUCCCAAGAGAAUUAAGAAACUGCUUGAGAUGCUUCCUCACCAGGAGGUAUCAAUGAUUGUUCUUGUUCUUUUUCCAAUUCACUAGCAAAUUGUAUGGAAUGUAGUUUGCAGGCUGAAUCUUCUGCAAUUAUUAGGUCAAUGAGGAAGAAGCUUCCCUUUUAGAUUUUUUGUGGUUACUGCUUGCAAGCGUCAUAUUUGUUCCUCUAUUUCAAAAAAUUCCUGGAGGUAAUUAGGAUUCUAUUUUAUUUUCCUUGUUUCCCCUUUUCUCAAACUCCUACGAUUCCCAUGUUGCAUAGAGAUUCAUGUGCUGCAAUGUAUAGGCAGCCCUGUUCUUGGGUAUUUAGCAGCUGGAAUACUGAUUGGUCCUUAUGGUCUUUCGAUAAUCCGUAAUGUGCACGCCACCAAGGCCAUCGCAGAAUUCGGAGUUGUGUUCUUGCUUUUCAACAUUGGUCUUGAGGUACUGUAUGAUAUACGUGUAUGCUGUGCUUUUUCUUUUGAAUUGUGUUUGGUAGAAGAGCCAAAUUUUUGUUUUUAUUUGAUUUGACAGCUAUCUGUGGAAAGACUGAGUUCCAUGAAGAAGUAUGUUUUUGGAUUAGGCUCCGCUCAGGUGAUUUGAUUACUUGAAGAUCAACCACAGUACGUGCCUGCUUGAUGUUUCUGUUUCCAAGUCCUCUAAUCUACAAUUCUAUUAUUGUAAUCUAGGUUCUGGUGACCGCUGCAGUAGUUGGAUUGAUUGCCCAUUAUGUUGCUGGUCAGGCUGGUCCAGCGGCAAUAGUUAUCGGAAAUGGCUUGGCACUGUCCUCAACUGCUGUUGUCCUUCAGGUAACAUUUUUUGGCUGUAUUCAGAUAGAGAUCUUAUAUAAAGGAAUUCGGUAACAGUCCUUUCAUUUAGUUUUAUAUGCAAUCAAGCUACCAAUUGGUUGAACGGAAACAAUCUAUUUGGCUUUCAGGUUCUACAAGAACGGGGUGAGAGUACAUCUAGACAUGGACGGGCUACAUUUUCCGUCUUGCUUUUUCAGGUCGGUUAAGAACAGAUUUCAUUCUUCACGUAUAUAAAUACAACUAUGCUGGGAAUUUCUCAUCAUUUUGUUAUUUUCUUUACAGGAUCUAGCUGUAGUUGUUUUACUGAUUCUCAUUCCACUUAUUUCACCUAAUUCAUCGAAAGGAGGGGUAAGCUCAUCUCUAGGGUUCCUUUUUUCUUCUUGAGUACGGUUUGCUUUUGUGUUCAAUGCCAUGUGUUGGCAAUUAUCUAAGUAAGAGGUUUGAUGAGUUAUUUGCUGCUCUCUUAAGAAGAAACGUUGUGGUUAUCUUUUGCUAAUAGUGGUGGUAAAUGCUAGUAUAUACUCAAGGGUGUCGAGGAAGUAUCACUAGUAGGAAAUUGAUAAGUUUCUAACUGUUCUUCUCAGAUUGGGUUUCAAGCCAUUGCUGAAGCUCUUGGACUUGCUGCAGUCAAAGCAGCUGUUGCUAUUACUGCCAUAAUUGCUGGUGGCCGUCUUGUAAGUCUCAGAUACCUUAACUUUUGAGACGCCAGAUUUUAAAAUAAGUUAAGUCCAAAGUUGUAAGGUGAAAUGUUUUAGAUUUGCUACAAAAGGAAGAAGCUUGUUUUCAGGACCUUAUCAUGAAAUUUUACUGGUGCUUCGGGUACUAAUAUUGUGUUAUAAUCUAAGGCAUUGAUGACACUCUUGUGGCACACAGCUUCUUCGACCAAUCUACAAGCAAGUUGCAGAAAAUCGAAACGCCGAGAUAUUCUCUGCCAACACACUUCUUGUUAUUCUUGGGACUAGUUUACUGACAGCUAGGGUAUGAGUCGUAUGACAAUGAUCUUGUUGCUAUUUGGCCAUUUCCAUAUAUUCUGCCAUGCCUUUGUUUCUUUUCUGCUAAAUUUUCUCGUUUAUAUAAAUUAGGCUGGACUUUCCAUGGCAUUAGGAGCGUUUCUGGCUGGUUUACUCCUUGCGGAAACAGAAUUUUCGUUGCAAGUAGAAUCAGAUAUUGCUCCAUAUCGUGGCCUUCUUCUAGGACUCUUCUUCAUGACGGUAAUUUAUGAGUUUUGAAACAACUUUAUCAUUUCUGAAAAGGAUAAAAAAACAUUGUUGAUGGGAACAGAAAAUAUAUUUUAUGUUCUCUUAAGAUUCUGAUGUUUCUUUCAACUGUAAACAUGUGUAAUCACUAAUCACAUGCACAAAACUAACAAGAAGAGUUCCACUCAUUUUAGGUUGGCAUGUCUAUAGAUCCCAAACUUCUUCUCUCUAACUUCCCUAUCGUAGUGGGAACGUUAGGACUCUUGAUAGUGGGCAAGACUAUAUUACUCGUGAUCAUGGCCAAAUUGUUCGGCAUUUCAAUCAUAUCUGCAAUUAGAGCUGGUCUUCUUCUGGCUCCAGGUGGAGAGUUUGCAUUUGUUGCUUUCGGAGAAGCUGUCAAUCAGGUUUGUUAUCGACAUGACGUCUUUUUCUUUUAACCAAUUGGUAUAUAAGCAGCGAUGCGUCUUCAAAACAUAUAGUUAUUUCAACGGUCUUUUCCCUAGCGCACUAAUCGGUUGUUCUUCCAGGGUAUAAUGUCUCCUCAGUUAUCUUCGUUGCUGUUUCUUGUCGUGGGAAUCUCAAUGGCUAUAACACCUUGGUUAGCUGCUGGUGGCCAGUUAGUUGCAUCCCGAUUUGAGCUGCAUGAUGUUAGAAGUUUAUUGCCGGUUGAAAGUGAGGUAGGAAUCAUGAUGAUUUUGUGUAUAGGAUUUUAACUCCAUAAGUCAAUCAUCCAUCAAUAAUAGUACCACUUGAUUUAAGUGUCGUUCUGAAGCUAACACAUCCUUUGAUCCAGAAUUCAUUGCAAGGCUUUCUGGUGUCUAAUCCCUCUUUUUCUUGGCUGAUUUUUUUUAUUUUUGCAGACGGAUGAUUUGCAGGAUCACAUAAUUAUUUGCGGAUUUGGACGAGUUGGUCAGGUUUAUACAUUAUCUGAACUUCUUCAGUUUAUGCGUUUUAGACGAGAACAUCAGUGUAGACAGUCGGAGUUUCUAACUUCUUCGCCAUUUUUUAUUUGUUACUUUCAGAUAAUUGCCCAGCUUCUCUCAGAAAGACUUAUCCCAUUCGUUGCCCUCGAUGUCAGCAGGUAACAGUUUCAUUUCCUGUAUCAAUUUGUGGGAGAAAGUAGGUUUCAGAUAUCAUCUUGUUCUCCUGAUAAACCGAAAAUGUGGGCUUUUUCAGUUACAACCACAUACAUUGAGAUCACGUUUUAACUUCUCUGAUUUAAAAUUCCAUAUCUCUUACACGCAUUCUUUGCUUACCUGAAAACCUCAUAUAUUAUUUGCAGUGAGAGAGUGACUAUCGCGCGUUCCUUGGAUCUCCCGGUUUAUUUUGGAGACGCUGGUAGUAGAGAGGUACACAAAAGAAAAAGAAAAUAAAAGACGCACGAUACAAUUACAGACUGUACCAGCAUUUAAAAAUAUUACUUUACUUGUGCAAACAAAUAGGUUCUCCACAAAAUUGGAGCUGAGAGAGCAUGUGCUGCUGUGGUUGCCUUAGACGCACCAGGAGCAAACUACAGAUGUGUAUGGGCUCUGAGCAAGUAUUACCCCAAUGUCAAAACCUUUGUCCGUGCACACGACGUUGUUCAUGGUCUUAAUCUAGAAAAAGCCGGUGCUACUGCUGUAAUAUUCACAAACCCUUUCACUUUCCACUAAAUAAGACAUAUGCUUUCUUGAUCGUACACUAAUACAUCA
rnacentral:lncRNA from 1 species